rnacentral:rRNA from 1 species
UAAUACGGAGGGAGCUAGCGUUGUUCGGAAUUACUGGGCGUAAAGCGCGCGUAGGCGGUUUUUUAAGUCAGGGGUGAAAGCCCGGAGCUCAACUCCGGAAUAGCCUUUGAAACUGGAAAACUUGAAUCUUGGAGAGGUCAGUGGAAUUCCGAGUGUAGAGGUGAAAUUCGUAGAUAUUCGGAAGAACACCAGUGGCGAAGGCGACUGACUGGACAAGUAUUGACGCUGAGGUGCGAAAGCGUGGGGAGCAAACAGG